GAGAGACAAAGAGGGGCGAUAGAAGGAUGGAAGGGAAGGUGAACGAGAGAGGGGGGAGGAAAGGGAGGGGAUGGAGAGAGAGAGAAGGGGGUGAGAGAGAGAGUCAGAAUUAAAAAGGAAUAUACAUUGACAUCUGAGCAUUGAAAAAAAAGCUGUCAUCGUAGCCUGCACUCAAAUAGAAAAUGGAUGUUACGUGCGGUUAGGUUUUUCAUAUUCAAACAUUGGCGGCUUGAUAGUCUAGGUCUACUCUACCCUAUACGUAUCUGAUAGUCUAGGUCUACUCUACCCUAUACGUAUCUGAUAGUCUAGGUCUACUCUACCCUAUACGUAUCUGAUAGUCUAGGUCUACUCUACCCUAUACGUAUCUGAUAGUCUAGGUCUACUCUACCCUAUACGUAUCUGAUAGUCUAGGUCUACUCUACCCUAUACGUAUCUGAUAGUCUAGGUCUACUCUACCCUAUACGUAUCUGAUAGUCUAGGUCUACUCUACCCUAUACGUAUCUGAUAGUCUAGGUCUACUCUACCCUAUACGUAUCUGAUAGUCUAGGUCUACUCUACCCUAUACGUAUCUGAUAGUCUAGGUCUACUCUACCCUAUACGUAUCUGAUAGUCUAGGUCUACUCUACCCUAUACGUAUCUGAUAGUCUAGGUCUACUCUACCCUAUACGUAUCUGAUAGUCUAGGUCUACUCUACCCUAUACGUAUCUGAUAGUCUAGGUCUACUCUACCCUAUACGUAUCUGAUAGUCUAGGUCUACUCUACCCUAUACGUAUCUGAUAGUCUAGGUCUACUCUACCCUAUACGUAUCUGAUAGUCUAGGUCUACUCUACCCUAUACGUAUCUGAUAGUCUAGGUCUACUCUACCCUAUACGUAUCUGAUAGUCUAGGUCUACUCUACCCUAUACGUAUCUGAUAGUCUAGGUCUACUCUACCCUAUACGUAUCUGAUAGUCUAGGUCUACUCUACCCUAUACAGGCUCAGUCAUGCACUGAACACUCUUUAUGCAUACACUAGUUUGUUAUUUUAUUAGCUUAAAUUACUAUCCAAUCUACUCAUCACAUUACAAAUAGUAGAUUAUCGUACAUACAUUUGCACAUGUGAUGAUUCAUGGAAUGCUUUAUUAUAAGGGUGCAUUUUUAUGGUGAAAAUUAGCUUCCCCAAAGUUGAAACUCACGUGGUGCCUAUAUAUGCCUGGUAGGCUACUC